rnacentral:misc_RNA from 1 species
AAUUCUCAAAAGCCUUUCUUUUGAAAGGAUUUUGGACAUGGAGGCUUUUGCUGGCUUCACCUCGAAGCCAGCUCCUCUUAAACGAAUUAGUGGGGUCUGCUUUGCCGAUCCUCGACGUGAUAAGAUGUUUCUACGUCUGGGGUUCGGUGAUGUCUUUUGGGCACCUGCUUCUAAUCGUCUCAUCGACAAUGAUGGCGUUCCGGUCACCGCCGUUUCAUCGGUCGGUCGGCUUGACCCACCAAAAAAA